GACGAACGCUGGCGGCGUGCUUAACACAUGCAAGUCGAACGGUAAGGCCCUUCGGGGUACACGAGUGGCGAACGGGUGAGUAACACGUGGGUGAUCUGCCCUGCACUUCGGGAUAAGCCUGGGAAACUGGGUCUAAUACCGGAUAGGACCACUGCCUGCAUGGGUGGUGGUGGAAAGCUUUUGCGGUGUGGGAUGGGCCCGCGGCCUAUCAGCUUGUUGGUGGGGUGAUGGCCUACCAAGGCGACGACGGGUAGCCGGCCUGAGAGGGUGACCGGCCACACUGGGACGGAGAUAGGGCCCAGACUCCUACGGGAGGCAGCAGUGGGGAAUAUUGCACAAUGGGCGCAAGCCUGAUGCAGCGACGCCGCGUGAGGGAUGACGGCCUUCGGGUUGUAAACCUCUUUCAGCACCGACGAAGCGCAAGUGACGGUAGGUGCAGAAGAAGGACCGGCCAACUACGUGCCAGCAGCCGCCGUAA
rnacentral:rRNA from 1 species